rnacentral:rRNA from 1 species
AAUAAGUUUGAUUCUAGCUUUUGUAUUAGUUUUUUAAAUUAAUUAUAUGUUUAUUUAUAAAUUAUUUUUAUUACAGUAAAUUGUUUUACAAUAAUUUUUAUUUUUUUUAAGAUAUUUAAUUAAAUUGGAUUAACUUUGUGCCAGCAUUCGCGGUUAUACAAAUCAUUUAAAUUAAUAUUUUUGGUUUUGUAUUUAUUUUUUCUUUGAUUAUAUUUAUUUUAUAUUUAGGUGGAAUUUAUAUUUAUAUUAAUUUCUAUAUUUUUAUAUAUUAAGUCUAUCUAUAAAACUAGGAUUAGAUACCCUAUUAUUUUAGAUUUAAAUUUAAAUUCUGAAUAUUAAUAGUUAAGUUCUAUAAAACUCAAAGAAUUUGGCGGUAAUUUAUCUUUAUAGAGGAACCUGUAUUUUAAUUGAUAAACCACAAUAAUUUCUACCUAUAAAUUAUUUGUAUACCGCUAUACUAUGGAGUAUUUUAUAAAGAAAUUUUUUUUUAUUAUAAAAAAUUAUAUUAGGUCAAGGUGCAGUUCUUUUUAGGUUUAUAUGGGUUACAUUAUUUGUAUUUUUUUGUUGAUUAUUAAUUUUAAAUUUUUUAUGAAAUAGGAUUUAUAAGUAAUUUUAAUUAAUUUAUUUUUUUGAAUUUAGCUCUAAAUUAUGUACAUAUCGCCCGUCACUCUCAAUAAAAUGGGAUAAGUCGUAACAAAGUAGUUGUACCGGAAGGUGUAUCUAGAAAGU